UCCUACGGGAGGCAGCAGUGGGGAAUUUUGGACAAUGGGCGAAAGCCUGAUCCAGCAAUGCCGCGUGUGUGAGGAAGGCCUUCGGGUUGUAAAGCACUUUUGUCCGGAAAGAAAUCCUUGGCUCCAAUACAGUCGGGGGAUGACGGUACCGGAAGAAUAAGCACCGGCUAACUACGUGCCAGCAGCCGCGGUAAUACGUAGGGUGCGAGCGUUAAUCGGAAUUACUGGGCGUAAAGCGUGCGCAGGCGGUUUGCUAAGACCGAUGUGAAAACCCCGGGCUCAACCUGGGAACUGCAUUGGUGACUGGCAGGCUAGAGUAUGGCAGAGGGGGGUAGAAUUCCACGUGUAGCAGUGAAAUGCGUAGAGAUGUGGAGGAAUACCGAUGGCGAAGGCAGCCCCCUGGGCCAAUACUGACGCUCAUGCACGAAAGCGUGGGGAGCAAACAGGAUUAGAUACCCUGGUAGUCCACGCCCUAAACGAUGUCAACUAGUUGUUGGGGAUUCAUUUCCUUAGUAACGUAGCUAACGCGUGAAGUUGACCGCCUGGGGAGUACGGUCGCAAGAUUAAAACUCAAAGGAAUUGACGGGGACCCGCACAAGCGGUGGAUGAUGUGGAUUAAUUCGAUGCAACGCGAAAAACCUUACCUACCCUUGACAUGGUCGGAAUCCCGCUGAGAGGUGGGAGUGCUCGAAAGAGAACCGGCGCACAGGUGCUGCAUGGCUGUCGUCAGCUCGUGUCGUGAGAUGUUGGGUUAAGUCCCGCAACGAGCGCAACCCUUGUCCUUAGUUGCUACGCAAGAGCACUCUAAGGAGACUGCCGGUGACAAACCGGAGGAAGGUGGGGAUGACGUCAAGUCCUCAUGGCCCUUAUGGGUAGGGCUUCACACGUCAUACAAUGGUCGGAACAGAGGGUUGCCAACCCGCGAGGGGGAGCUAAUCCCAGAAAACCGAUCGUAGUCCGGAUUGCACUCUGCAACUCGAGUGCAUGAAGCUGGAAUCGCUAGUAAUCGCGGAUCAGCAUGCCGCGGUGAAUAAGUUCCCGGGCCUUGUACACACCGC
rnacentral:rRNA from 1 species